CAAAUGGUCCUUUUCAGGACCACCAAAAUGAGUCAAUUUCUUCAUC
rfam:Aedes aegypti strain Liverpool supercont1.825 genomic scaffold, whole genome shotgun sequence.